GACAGAGGAUGCGAGCGUUAUUCGGAAUGAUUGGGCGUAAAGCGUCUGUAGGUGGCUUUUCAAGUCCGCCGUCAAAUCCCAGGGCUCAACCCUGGACAGGCGGUGGAAACUACCAAGCUGGAGUACGGUAGGGGCAGAGGGAAUUUCCGGUGGAGCGGUGAAAUGCAUUGAGAUCGGAAAGAACACCAGCGGCGAAGGCGCUCUGCUGGGCCGACACUGACACUGAGAGACGAAAGCUAGGGGAGCAAAUGGG
rnacentral:rRNA from 1 species